ACUCCUACGGGAGGCAGCAGUGGGGAAUAUUGCACAAUGGGGGAAACCCUGAUGCAGCCAUGCCGCGUGUGUGAAGAAGGCCUUCGGUUGUAAAGCACUUUCAGUAGGGAGGAAGGUAGUGUAGUUAACACCUGCACUAUUUGACGUUACCUACAGAAGAAGCACCGGCUAACUCCGUGCCAGCAGCCGCGGUAAUACGGAGGGUGCGAGCGUUAAUCGGAAUUACUGGGCGUAAAGCGCAUGCAGGCGGCCUGUUAAGUCAGAUGUGAAAGCCCGGGGCUUAACCUCGGAAUUGCAUUUGAAACUGGCAGGCUAGAGUCUUGUAGAGGGGGUAGAAUUUCAGGUGUAGCGGUGAAAUGCGUAGAGAUCUGAAGG
rnacentral:rRNA from 1 species